rnacentral:rRNA from 1 species
CAGCACCUCAGGUGGUCAGGAUGAUUAUUUGGCCUAAAGCAUCCGUAGCCGGCGCUGUAAGUUUUCGGUUAAAUCUGUACGCUCAACGUACAGGCUGCCGGGAAUACUGCAGCGCUAGGGAGUGGGAGAGGUAGACGGUACUCGGUAGGAAGGGGUAAAAUCCUUUGAUCUAUUGAUGACCACCUGUGGCGAAGGCGGUCUACCAGAACACGUCCGACGGUGAGGGAUGAAAGCUGGGGGAGCAAACCGGAUUAGAGACCCGAGUAGUCC